rnacentral:rRNA from 1 species
ACGGGUGAGUAACGCGUGAGUAACCUGCCUUCAAGAGGGGGAUAACAUUCUGAAAAGGAUGCUAAUACCGCAUGAUAUAUCGGAACCACAUGGUUUUGAUAUCAAAGAUUUUAUCGCUUGAAGAUGGACUCGCGUCCGAUUAGUUUGUUGGUGAGGUAACGGCUCACCAAGACCGCGAUCGGUAGCCGGACUGAGAGGUUGAACGGCCACAUUGGGACUGAGACACGGCCCAGACUCCUACGGGAGGCAGCAUG